rnacentral:rRNA from 1 species
CCGGGGACGAGGAGCUGGCAUCAGGCACACCAGAUGGCCCAAGACGCCUUGCUCAGCCACACCCCCAAGGGAAUUCAGCAGUAAUAAACAUUAAGCCAUAAGUGAAAACUUGACUUAGUUAGGGUUAAGAGGGCCGGUAAAAUUCGUGCCAGCCACCGCGGUUAUACGAAAGACCCUAGUUUAUAGGCACGGCGUAAAGGGUGGUUAUGGGACAGACAAAAUAAAGCUAAAGACCCCCAGAGCCGUCAUACGCCCACGGGGGCGCGAAACCCAAAUACGAAAGUAGCUUUACCAAACAAAUGCCCGACCCCACGAAAGCUGAGAAACAAACUGGGAUUAGAUACCCCACUAUGCCCAGCCUUAAACCUAGAUGAAAACUUACAAAACCAUCCGCCCGGGGACUACAAGCACAGCUUAAAACCCAAAGGACUUGGCGGUGCCUCAGACCCACCUAGAGGAGCCUGUUCUAGAACCGAUAACCCCCGUUAAACCUCACCACCUCUUGUUUUCCCCGCCUAUAUACCGCCGUCGUCAGCUUACCCUGUGAAGG